rnacentral:rRNA from 1 species
ACGGAAGGCAGCAGUGGGGAAUAUUGGACAAUGGGGGAAACCCUGAUCCAGCGACGCCGCGUGAGUGAAGAAGUAUUUCGGUAUGUAAAGCUCUAUCAGCAGGGAAGAAAAUGACGGUACCUGACUAAGAAGCUCCGGCUAAAUACGUGCCAGCAGCCGCGGUAAUACGUAUGGAGCAAGCGUUAUCCGGAUUUACUGGGUGUAAAGGGAGCGUAGACGGAACAGCAAGUCUGAUGUGAAAGGCAGGGGCUCAACUCCUGGACUGCAUUGGAAACUGUUGAUCUUGAGUGCCGGAGAGGUAAGCGGAAUUCCUAGUGUAGCGGUGAAAUGCGUAGAUAUUAGGAGGAACACCAGUGGCGAAGGCGGCUUACUGGACGGUAACUGACGUUGAGGCUCGAAAGCGUGGGGAGCAAACAGGAUUAGAUACCCUGGUA